rnacentral:lncRNA from 1 species
GUAUCAGCCUCGUGGUGGCCUGGCCUCCUGCACUUCUCCACAGAAAGCAAGACUCCGAAGGCCUUUUAGAAAGCUAGCCCGGCUCCAGACAAGGAGGCAAUAAAGAAUUUGGACUUUAACUCCUGGCUAUUCUUAUGGUGAUUACUUGGCUGAAAAGAAGGCUGCCCCAGAGACCCCCAGGAAACCAAACUAGAACGUUACAAGUUUCCUAACUGCAAAAUGGAGAUAAAAUAGCAAGUACCUCCCAGGUUUAUUGUGUGAAACAAAUAAGACUGUAUUUGCAAAAUGUUUAAUAGAAUUUCUAGAACAUAGUAGAUGCUUAAUAAUUCCCUCCCCGCAAUUUUCUCCCUCUCCUCAACUUCCUCUCCCUCCCUUCUCUCCCUCCUUCCUUCCCUCCCUUUCUCCCUCCCUCCCUCCCUCCCUCCCUCCUUCCUUCCUUCCUUCCUUCCUUCCUUCCUUCCUUCCUUCCUUCCUUCCUUCCUUCCUUCCUUCCUUCCUUCCUUCCUUCCUUCCUCCCUCUCUCUCUUCCUUCCUUCCUUCUUUUUUUCCCCUCUGUUUUUCCUCUUCAUUUCCAAACUACUCUGAAAAAUGCAGGAAUAUUGGUAGGAUGUUUUUGAAAUCUGCAUAGGAAAGGGCCAAGAUAAAACCACCAGUAUUAAUCUAGUAGGCAAUGAAAUCUAUUUCUGACGUGAUGAUUACCCUCUUGGACUAUGUGGCCAGCUCCUAGGAUUAGCCACCCAACCACAAGGGUAAUUUCACCACAGUGUGGAUUAUGGAAAGGUGGAAAGAAUUUAAUAUUUGGAUCAGACCUGAGGGAGAGAUCCAGUCAUCUGAUGGGAGAAAAGGAGAAAGCAAGCCAGAAAGGUAAGGAGUCUUGAAAAAACUAGAGAUAACAAUAAUAAGAAGAAAAACAAUUUUGAGAGAUCUAUUACUCAGAUCAAAGUGGGAAACAGCAGUGACUUCAAAAGAUGGAUGAUGAAACAUACCUUCCACCUCUUGACAGAGAGGCGAUGCGCUGGAGAUGUGCAAUGAGACCUGAGUACUCAGAAGUGGAUAAUGUGCUGAUUUGUUUUGUUGGACUAUAUAUGUUUGCUUUGCUGGUGUUGAAUGUGGGAAAGAAAUUGGUUUAGUGAAAUUCAAAGAAGAACAGUAAUAAAACAUUUAAAAAGGCAGAUAAAUGAAAAAUGCAUAAAGAGUUGUAAACUAAUUGAGCACUUUUGUUACAACAGAUAUAGAU